rnacentral:tRNA from 2 species
GCCGAAAUAGCUCAGUCGGUAGAGCAACUGAUUCGUAAUCAGUAGGUCGCAAGUUCGAUUCUUGUUUUCGGCACCA